rnacentral:rRNA from 1 species
UGCAGUCGAGCGGACAGAAGGGAGCUUGCUCCUGGAUGUUAGCGGCGGACGGGUGAGUAACACGUGGGUAACCUGCCUGUAAGACUGGGAUAACUCCGGGAAACCGGAGCUAAUACCGGAUAGUUCCUUGAACCGCAUGGUUCAAGGAUGAAAGACGGUUUCGGCUGUCACUUACAGAUGGACCCGCGGCGCAUUAGCUAGUUGGUGGGGUAAUGGCUCACCAAGGCGACGAUGCGUAGCCCACCUGAGAGGGUGAUCGGCCACACUGGGACUGAGACACGGCCCAGACUCCUACGGGAGGCAGCAGUAGGGAAUCUUCCGCAAUGGACGAAAGUCUGACGGAGCAACGCCGCGUGAGUGAUGAAGGUUUUCGGAUCGUAAAGCUCUGUUGUUAGGGAAGAACAAGUGCGAGAGUAACUGCUCGCACCUUGACGGUACCUAACCAGAAAGCCACGGCUAACUACGUGCCAGCAGCCGCGGUAAUACGUAGGUGGCAAGCGUUGUCCGGAAUUAUUGGGCGUAAAGGGCUCGCAGGCGGUUUCUUAAGUCUGAUGUGAAAGCCCCCGGCUCAACCGGGGAGGGUCAUUGGAAACUGGGAAACUUGAGUGCAGAAGAGGAGAGUGGAAUUCCACGUGUAGCGGUGAAAUGCGUAGAGAUGUGGAGGAACACCAGUGGCGAAAGCGACUCUCUGGUCUGUAACUGACGCUAAGGAGCGAAAGCGUGGGGAGCGAACAGGAUUAGAUACCCUGGUAGUCCACGCCGUAAACGAUGAGUGCUAAGUGUUUAGGGGGUUUCCGCCCCUUAGUGCUGCAGCUAACGCAUUAAGCACUCCGCCUGGGGAGUACGGUCGCAAGACUGAAACUCAAAGGAAUUGACGGGGGCCCGCACAAGCGGUGGAGCAUGUGGUUUAAUUCGAAGCAACGCGAAGAACCUUACCAGGUCUUGACAUCCUCUGACAACCCUAGAGAUAGGGCUUUCCCUUCGGGGACAGAGUGACAGGUGGUGCAUGGUUGUCGUCAGCUCGUGUCGUGAGAUGUUGGGUUAAGUCCCGCAACGAGCGCAACCCUUGAUCUUAGUUGCCAGCAUUUAGUUGG